rnacentral:misc_RNA from 1 species
GAUGAAGAACGCAGCGAAAUGCGAUAAGUAAUGUGAAUUGCAGAAUUCCGUGAAUCAUCGAAUCUUUGAACGCACAUUGCGCCCCCUGGCAUUCCGGGGGGCAUGCCUGUCCGAGCGUCAUUUCUGCCCUCAAGCACGGCUUGUGUGUUGGGUGUGGUCCCCCCGGGGACCUGCCCGAAAGGCAGCGGCGACGUCCGUCUUGUCCUCGAGCGUAUGGGGCUCUGUCACUCGCUCGGGAAGGACCUGCGGGGGUUGGUCACCACUAUAUUUUACCACGGUUGACCUCGGAUCAGGUAGGAGUUACCCGCUGAACUUAAGCAUAUCAAUAAGCGGAGGA